rnacentral:rRNA from 1 species
UACGAAGGGGGCUAGCGUUGCUCGGAAUUACUGGGCGUAAAGGGCGCGUAGGCGGCCUUCUAAGUCGAACGUGAAAUCCCCGGGCUCAACCCGGGAACUGCGUCCGAUACUGGGAGGCUUGAAUCCGGGAGAGGGAUGUGGAAUUCCAGGUGUAGCGGUGAAAUGCGUAGAUAUCUGGAGGAACACCGGUGGCGAAGGCGGCAUCCUGGACCGGUAUUGACGCUGAGGCGCGAAAGCUAGGGGAGCAAACGGG